GCGCACCACUCCCACGGUGCGCCAUUAGUAAAAAACUUUAAUUUUUUUUCAAAACUACUAAUGGCGCACCGUGGGAGUGGUGCGC
rnacentral:pre_miRNA from 1 species